rnacentral:rRNA from 1 species
AUUGAACGCUGGCGGCAGGCCUAACACAUGCAAGUCGAGCGGAGCGGCGGACGGGUGAGUAAUGCCUAGGAAUCUGCCUGGUAGUGGGGGAUAACGUCCGGAAACGGGCGCUAAUACCGCAUACUAUCAGAUGAGCCUAGGUCGGAUUAGCUAGUUGGUGGGUUAAUGGCCUACAAAGGAGACGAUCCGUAACUGGUCUGAGAGGAUGAUCAGUCACAUUGGAACUGGGACACGGUCCAUACUCCUACGGGGGGCGGCAGUGGGGAAUAGUGGACAAUGGGCGAAAGCCUGAUGAAGCCAUGCGGCGUGUUUGAAGAAGGUCUUCGGUUUGUAAAGCACUUUAAGUUGGGAGGCGUUACCUACAGAAUAAGCACCGGCUAACUUCGUGCCAGCAGCCGCGGUAAUUC